UCCGGUUGAUCCUGCCAGAGGCCACUGCUAUUGGAAUGCGACUAAGCCAUGCGAGUCAAGGGGCUCUUCGGAGCACCGGCGUACGGCUCAGUAACAUGUGGGUAACCUACCCUCAGGUGGGGGAUAACCUCGGGAAACUGAGGCUAAUACCCCAUAGAUAAAAGAUACUGGAAUGUUCUUUUAUCAAAAGCUCCGGCGCCUGAGGAUGGGCCUGCAUCCGAUUAGGUAGUUGGUGAGGUAACGGCUCACCAAGCCUGCGAUCGGUACGGGUCGUGAGAGCGAUAGCCUGGAGAUGGGGACUGAGACAAGGCCCCAGGCCCUACGGGGCGCAGCAGGCGCGAAACCUCUGCAAUGUGCGAAAGCAUGACAGGGGCAUUCCAAGUGCUCUUGUUUUACAAGAGCUUUUCUCCGGUCCAAGACGCCGGAGGAAUAAGGGCUGGGUAAGACCGGUGCCAGCCGCCGCGGUAACACCGGCAGCUCGAGUGGUGGCCGCUAUUAUUGGGCCUAAAGCGUUCGUAGCCGGGCAGGUAAGUGUUCUGGUAAAUCCCAUAACUUAAUUAUGGGGCUUCAGAAUAUACUGCCUGCCUUGAGACCGGGAGAGGCUGGAGGUACUUUCGGGGUAGGGGUAAAAUCCUAUAAUCCCGAAGGGACCACCGGUGGCGAAGGCGUCCAGCCAGAACGGGUCUGACGGUGAGGGACGAAACCCAGGGGAGCGAGCCGGAUUAGAUACCCGGGUAGUCCUGGGCGUAAAUGAUGUGGGCUAGGUGCAAGGCUACCUAUGAGGUAGCCUGGUGCCGAUGGGAAGCCGUUAAGCCCACCGCCUGGGGAGUACGGCCGCAAGGCUGAAACUUAAAGGAAUUGGCGGGGGAGCAC
rnacentral:rRNA from 1 species